rnacentral:lncRNA from 1 species
AGUCAGUACCACUGGAAUCAAGGUACUCGGGAUGGAAGAGGGAAAAGAGAAAUGCACUGAAGAACUUCUGGUGGUCUCCCAGCAGCUUCUUGCCACUUCUGAAGACUCGGGAUGAUUGGCAGAUCCUCGAGGUUUCUUCUGGAUCAAACCGCCAUUGCUGAGUUGUGAAUGGUGUUUGCAAGUGGAUUGAGCUACCACUGCUGAUUCGUGUGGACUGAACUGCUGAUAUCCUGACAAUGAAGAAUCACCCAAAAGAACUAGUUCUAGGGCUGGAGAGAUGGCUCAGUGUAAGAGCACUGACUGCUCUUCCAGAGUUCAAUUCUCAGCAACAACAUGGUGGCUCACAACCAUCUGUAAUGAGAUCUGAUGCCCUCUUCUGGUGUGUCUGAAGAUAGCUACAGUGUACUCAUAUACAUAAAAUAAAUAAGUAAUUCUUU